rfam:Grosmannia clavigera kw1407 unplaced genomic scaffold GCSC_144, whole genome shotgun sequence.
GCCAGCUUGGCCGAGUGGUUAAUGGCGGUAGUCUUGAGAACUGCUAUCUUGAAAGAGAUGCGCAGGUUCGAAUCCUGUAGCUGGCA